GUAACUAUUUGGUAGGGGAGGAGUAAGUCCCAUUUUCGCUUAAGAGAGAUUGCGUUUGGUGUGAGCAAUUGCGAAAACGACUGAAGGUCGCCCUUACGACAUUUGCGCAAGCAACGGUACUCGCCGUUACCGAGUUCGAGCGCCGCAGAUUGCGGAACAAAGGUGGUACCGCGGAAACCCCGUCCUUUUU
rnacentral:ncRNA from 1 species